rfam:Schistosoma mattheei strain Denwood, Zambia genome assembly, scaffold: SMTD_scaffold0000409
GAAGCUUUUGCGGUACAUAUACUAAAAUUGGAAUGAUACAGAGAAGAUUAGCAUGACUCUUGCGCAAGGAUGAUACGCAAAACCGUGAAGCGUUAACGGUAAUG